AUUCACUUAACAACCAUAUGAUUCUCUUAACUGCAGCAAUUUGCUUAUCAACAGUGGCAGAACCUAACAACUUCCACGUUUAAUAAUGGAAAUUUGGAUCCCAUUUGUGGUUGUAAGUCGAAGGUUACCUGUACAGUGUCUCUGUUUUUCCCAAUGCAAUUGUUCCUCCCAAUACAUACCAUUACAUUAAUUUCCCAUCAGAUUACAACUAUCUUUCCACUUCUCUUCCUACUCUACAGAGUGCCAAUUUUGGCAUCUCCUGUAUGCUGUUAUUGUUCAGCGUGCUGGAAUUUUGCAUCGCUGUUUCCAUGGCUCACUUUGGGUGCCAGGCAGCUUGCUGUAUUGCCCAGGUUGCCCAGCCACCCAUGGUUUUUGUGCCUUACCAAGUCAUCAGAGGUGGAGCAGUUGCAGCUGAACCAAAUCCUCCUCUUCCUCAUCCUCCACCGACUUACGAUAACAUGGAUACCAAAUCUCAGUAAAACAAGAAGGAAGUAUGAGAAUUGUUGGCAAAAGAGGUUUCAGGAGAAGCAAUGCAUUUCAUUUUACUUUAUUUCUUGGUCCAGCUUGCUUGUUUCCUUUUCAAUUACAGCUUUUAAACACCAAAUUAAAUGGUGGCAAGUUUUAAAAGUU